UUCCUCAGGUUCAUAAGCGUGUUGAUUGGGUGUUCAUCUUCAUGAAUGACAUUGCCUCCUUUGAACCUUGUUACGGCAUUGGAACAUUACCCAUCUGAUG
rfam:Cavia porcellus supercont2_60 genomic scaffold, whole genome shotgun sequence.